AGUUUUUCUUUACGAGACUAUAAAUUCCUAUGAACAUUUAUAAAAUCUAACAAAUGUGGCGUACAGUGUUUCACAGUAUUCCACAACUAAACGGAUAACGUUAAUUCCGUCAUU
ensembl:ncRNA B0205.16 ncRNA